GUCUGUGGGAAUCUGCUGGACUGAUUUAUCGAUUGGAUCUGCGCUGUGAAGGGAGAGAGAAAGAUAAGUGAAUUGAUUUCAUCUUACAAACAUUCGAAAAGCUUGAAGAGGAUACAGUGAAUGUAAAUCUGACUGUUGGGGAAGCUAUGUGUUUCAGAGUGUGCUGAAGAGGAAUUGAGGAUUGAAUAGCCCCCAGGGAGUGUAACGAAUGGAUUGAGACCUCUGAUCAGCCUUACCGUGUGAGUGAAUUGCAGUGCUUUUGCCUUAUUGUUACACAUUGAUUCAUUGCUGUGGAUUUGUGGUGAACAUGAGUGUGGUGUGCUUUUGCUGAGAAGUAGUCCCAACCCCUGCUUACACGUUUGUGAAAAGUUAUGAUACCUGCUCUCCAUUAGAAUCCCAGAGUGAUACAGCUGAGCUGGUGAGGUAUCUUCUUGCGCUAUCCUCUCUUGGGUGGUCUGAGCUCUGAGUACUAUACUGCCGCGCUGAGAUCUCCUCUUAAAUCACUCGCUCUGUUUGUGAGCCCUAGGAAGAAACAUAUUGCUGUGGGAACACCCUUACCUGUCUACUUACCGUCUGAGUCCUGGAAGUAUGCAGCAUCGCUGGUGAAGUAAGCUUUUAAGCCACUGUCUCACUGACGUGCACUGACGCCAGUAUCCUGUACUGAGAAGACUUCUUACCUCCCUACGUACCGUCUGAGUCUGGAAGUACGCAGCAUCGCUGAGGAAGUAAGCUUUUAAAUUAUUCUUUCUAAUGUACCCUGACGAAAGAAUUCUGUACUGCGAAGAACCCUGACCUGUCUACUCACCGACAGAGUCCUGAAGAAUGCAACAUUGCUGGUGAAGUAAGCUUUUAAACCACGGUCUCACUACUGUGUAUUGACGCAAGUAUCCUUGACUGAGAAGUAUCCUUAUCUGUAGACUCACUGCCCAAGUCUUGAAGAGAGCCGCCCUAUUGGUGAAGUCGCCGUCAGGGCGAAACUGCGACGUACGAUCAGUACCUAUCCGUAGCUGAAGAAGACCUAGAGGACACUGAAGUCUAUCACGCUUGUGCUCACUGAUAUAUUGUGCUCAAUAAAGAUUGUUAUUCCUUUGAAGUUACCUCUUGUCUGCGUUGUCCAUCUGUUGCGGACCUGUGGUGUCGGCUCCUCACGGUGGGGUCUAAGUAAGGGGUGGCUGGUCAUCCGAGUCCACCCCAGU
rnacentral:lncRNA from 1 species